rnacentral:rRNA from 1 species
UACGAAGGGGGCUAGCGUUGCUCGGAAUCACUGGGCGUAAAGCGCACGUAGGCGGAUCUUUAAGUCAGGGGUGAAAUCCCAAGGCUCAACCUUGGAACUGCCUUUGAUACUGGGGAUCUCGAGUCCGGAAGAGGUGAGUGGAACUGCGAGUGUAGAGGUGAAAUUCGUAGAUAUUCGGAGGAACACCAGUGGCGAAGGCGGCUCACUGGCUCGACACUGACGCUGAGGUGCGAAAGCGUGGGGAGCAAACAGG